UGCUCACACUCACACUCCCCGUGUGCUCACACUCACACUCCUCGUGUGCUCACACUCACACUCCCCGUGUGCUCACACUCACACUCCUCGUGCGCUCACACACCCCGUGAACCCGCACCCCUGCACGAUGCACCGCACACUCGUGGAUUGGCACGGCUGCACCACGCGUUCCCUCAGCUCCCGCACCCUCACGCGCUGCUGCAGCGGCGCACGCGCGCUCACAGCAGGCUGCACACGCGCGCCUUCACUCAUCGGGCACAGCCGGGCCCCGGUGCCAGCACACACCCACAGCCUCCUGCACCCCUCCUUGCCGCCAUGACCCCUCCGUGCCCCCAUGACCCCUCCGUGCACGCGCACCCUCGUGCGCCCCCUCCGCGCGUGCGCGCGCCCCUUCCCGCCCUCGGCGGGGCCUCUGUUCCGGAGCGGCAGCGGUCGCUAUGGCGACCCCGUACGGUCACUCGCGCAUGCGCGGUGCCGCCGCCAUGGCGUCCCCUCAGGGCUCCGGGCGCGCCCUCCGGCCAGCGCGGCACCGCCGGGGUCACCUCAGCUUUUCCUCGCUCUGACCCUUUUGGCCGUGUCUCGGCUCCCUGAAGUUACCUCUGGGUUUUUUAGCCUUGGGUUUCGCGCCCUUCACCUUCCUCUCAGGGUCUCACUCACAAAUCCCCUCCUCAGGUUUCCUGUCCCCGACGUUCCCCCUCAGACUUGUUCCCAGCUUCCCCCUUUCCCUGCAUCCAUCCCCAGCUCUUUUUCUCCGUACUUUCCGUUUCUCCCCCAGCCUCCCUGGCUCUGGGGUCCUUCCCCUGCGUACCCCCAGUGAGGGGUAAGUGCUAGAAAGGCUUCGGUCUUUCUGUCCCAAGAAGUGAGUGCUGAUGGCGUGAAGUGUGAAUGGGGACAGGUCUGGGGUGCACUGCUUCUCAUCCUUCAGCUGAGGCCUGUCCACAGUCAGAUGAACUGCUCCCUCAUCCCAAAUGAUCUUGUGGACUUCAGGUGUGGAAGGACCAAAAGUCCCUCGCAGUGCGUGUUUGAGAGGUUCCACCUGGAAUGAAUUUACCAGGGGAGGUUGGAUGAGGCGCUGAAGGGUGGUGAGCAGCCAGCUGUGGGAGAGGCUCCCUGUGCUCUGCAGCCUCACCCCAAAUCCUCCCCGUGCUGUGCAGUGUGCUGAAAAUGCCAGCUUCCAGCUGAAGGCUUCCUGCCUCCUACCUACACAUCUACAGUGAGGCCAUGAGGCACCUUCUAGGAGCUGACACCAAGCAGAACUGGAGAAGCUUGAGUGCCAGAAUAUGAAGUUCCAUGAGGAGCAUGGAAGCUGAGAGGUACUUUAGUGAAAGCUUAGGAGCAGGAUGCAGUUGGAGACAUCCAGUGUAUCCCAUGUGAUAGUGGCUGGGAGCUCAGCAGCAACUCUGUGAAAAUCCUUUACUGGACAAGGAUAGAAUAAAGUGUUCAUUGGGCAAUUUCUUUCUCA